CAGGGGGUUGGACGGGAUGAUCUCCAGAGGUCCCUUCCAACCCUUACUAUUCUGUGAUUCUGCGUGAUCGUGACUAUCGACCUGCUUUGAGACGUCAAGAAAUGCCUUCAGUGUGUCAUUUUUGUCUACAGGAACAGAUGGAAGGGCUGGAAAGGUUACCUCCUCCCGCUGCUCGGUGCUGUCCCUCAGCUGGAAAUAACCAUCCCUGGAGAUGAGCCGGGAGGGGGAAAGGGGAAAGAACAUCCCCGGGGUCUGAUCUUAGGCCAGAAUUGGAACUGGAACUUUGAAAACAAAGCUUUUUUUUCCCCCUGAAAUGGGCUGCAGGAGGCUGCCUGCCCCAUGGCUGGAGGCAGCUAUGACCAUGGAAGGCUAGCAUGAUUUCAGAGUGGUGGUGUCUUCAGGCUUCCUUUUCGAUUUCUGCAAGAAUGCAGGCUGUUCCCUGCCCAUCUCGUGCAUCCUGCUGUGCACCCCAGUGAGAGCCCCACUUAGGAGGAACAGUGCUAAGAUCCAGUGCUGGAUCUCUUGUUCCCACCAGUGUCCAUCAACCAACUGGGCUGCUGCUGGGGAGGCACAGCUCCACCUUCUUUGCUCCUGAGCACCUUCUGCUGCUGGCUCUGCUUCUCUACCUGCUGUUUGUAGUGAGGACUCAUCACAGAGCAUCGCUGAGAGACGAGACGUGCUGCUGCUGCUGCUCUCCCCCUUGCUGUUUUGGAGCGUGGAGUCUGGUUGGCCAGGUCCAAGAAGGGCUGGGAAGAUGGACUGUACUGUUUGAAAGCUGCCCAGACCUCAUCUGCUCCCUUGAAACCAAUAUGAGGCAAGACCAGCGAUUGCAGCCAGUUGCAACAUCUCGUCUUGCUGGAUGGAGGCACAUCGUGUCACCAGUGGUGCUGCUGGUGAAACCUCCGUGAAGGAAGGAAACCCGCUGAGACCUGGCUGCCUGGGGGCUGUUAACCCAUCGGAGCACAAACACGUUAAGUGGGUGUAACUGCAAACACCAUCUCUGCCUCCUGUGCCCACAGAAGUGCCUGGGCAGCGAUGCCAGCGCGGGAUCCUGCUGAGCAGAAGGAGAAGGCUCAGGUGUGGGGCUGAGCAUCUGGGGCUGGCGCAGCCCACGGCAGCGAGCGGGGAAACAAGAGAGGUGGGAGCUGGUCAUUAAAUCUGCUGCUGGGCAGGUGCCCUGACGUUCAGCUUUCCAGGCAGUGGAGAUGAGAGAGCCACAGAAGCUGCUGCAGAUUAACGAGGGAGGAUUAGCACAGCCCUUGCCUCUUUGGGAGGCUUUGGUGAGCUUAUAUGUGGUUCCGGAGCUGGUGCGUGUCACCAGAGGGUGAGUC